GGCCCUGAAGAGCCCCGGGGUCAGCCUCCUGCGGCCGGCAGCGGAGGCACUUAACCCUACCUCACAGCUCAGCCAAGGCCCGCUCCCCACACGAGCCCGUGGAGACAAUCCAGCAGGCUGAGUGCCGGAGGCCUUCGUCACUGCUGAACGUCAAAAAGGGUCAUUUUGAUGACAGGACGCUGACCUCACCCGUGGGGGGUGAGCUUCACACGCCGGAGGAUGUUGUUCUCAAACCCGUGGAGGUCACAGAGGCCGAGUUUUCUCUCUUAAAACUCUCACCUCGCGAAUACGCCCUUCCCAGGCCCUGAUCUCCGGGCCCACGGAUAACCCCCCACACACACACUGGGCUGUGUUCACCUCAGAUUUGAAACGUUGGCUCUAGAGCGUUUCCUAGACCACUGCACGUGACCAGUCUAAAUAGCCAGAGAUAACGUGGACCCGCGUGAGGUAACCGUGCAGAAGGGGUGAAAAGCAAGCAAAAGCUUUGGUGGUGGUUUACCUCUGUGACUUGCUUCUGCAAACAUUUUUCACGGGAUAUUUUUCUAUUCUGUUUAGUUACAUCCGAGUUUUAAAAUAAUGCAUCCGUGAGUGUCUGUCAUUGCUUUAAGGCGCUACAUGGAAACUUUGACGAAGCAAGCAGAUUCUAAGGAAGUGAAAUCAGAAAAGCACCAGAGAAGAUGACAAAGGAAAUAAACUAGUCAAAGGAAUGCUAAAAGGUCUAAUUCAACAAAUAAGUAAAACCACAUUUAUUCAAAGGAAUAAAUGAAAGCUGCAAGAAAUAGUUGCUAUGAGAGCUCACAAUAGGGUCAUUCACUGACCUGGUCAGUGAUUUCUCACUGAGAGAAAUCUCCCUGAAGGAGGUCCUACUGGAAUGGAAACCUGAAAAAUGAGAUACUGAAAAAAGGAGAAAUGGAAACCGGGAACAUCAUGCGUAAAGACCUUUUGUCAGAGGGGAACACUGCAAGCCUGAGGAACAGAGGACCAAUGUGGCUAGAACGUAGACCAUACAGAGUUCACAGUACGCUGGAGACCAGACAUUGUUGGCCAUACUGAGAACCUGUAUCUUCUUGAGAAGCAGAGAGGGGAUUUAAUGAUCAUAUCUGUGUUUUGAAAAGUUCAUUCCAACUGGAGUGUGAGAAUAUGAAUAGAGCCAAUUAGGGUCCCCCGGUGGUA